UUACAGCAGCCCCACUGGUUAUCUUUUGGGCUUCUCAGGCAGAGCGAAACUGCUGGGUCUCUUCUAAACUUUCUGCAGGCAUCUCAGCCUGCCCCAGCACCCAGCCUGGCCAGAACUCUAAACGUGGCCCUGCCAAACCAACCUGAGGUAGGUGCUGCCAAGGAAAGAGGAGAACAAGGCCUCCUGAAGUUCUGCAGUGCAUGUGGGCAUGGAUAAUUUUCCAGAAGUGCAUACGUACCCCUCAGAGAGGGGAGACCUGUGAUGGAGAAUGACCUUUUCAUUGGGUCCAUCAUGUUGAAAAGGUGCCAGUCCCCAAGCUGCCAGGUCCUUCUGCUCUGUCCCAGCUCCUUGUGCCGCAGAGGUUCUGCAGGCAUGCUCAGAACACCAUGUGGCAUUCAGAUCACCCUGAGAUGCUGGAGAAGUGCUGGGGCACACCAAAGAUACCACUCAACGAGAAAUGUGCAAGACCAUUGGAAAGUCUUCUUUCUGAGCCUCAGUAAGCACACAUGGCAGAA
rnacentral:lncRNA from 1 species